rnacentral:lncRNA from 1 species
GGCUUCAUGCCCUGGUGCUGUCAGAGCAGCACGUGGGGCCUGGGGAAUUCUCUCUCCUGCCUUUAUGGUUUGAAACGGUGUCCCUCUUGCCACCUCUGAGAUGACUAGGUGCGCAUUUGCCGGCUGAGUCUGCCCUUCUAAAAAAUCCCAGCUCCCGCGGCCCAGGUCCAGGUGUGCCUGGAGGAACACCUACCUCCUCACCUGACGGCCCGCGUGUUUCUGGUAGGUGCCCCUUACAGCAGAGUGCAGGCUUCCCUGCUCCAGGGAGCUGUGUUUUCUUUUUUGUGGCCCCCUCGAUUAUUCCCUGUGGAGAUGGCUGCAGCCGAGCCGCAGUGGGCUGGAUGGGCGGUGUCCAUGCAGGGAACACAGUGCUUGGAUGCUGUCCUGGGAAAGGUGGCGGCGUCCGUUUCCCCAGCAGGUGUCUUGCUGAGCACCUGUGACGAGCCUGUCCUGUCCUAUAGUGUGUAAUGUGUGGGGCCUUCUCCACACAGGCUGGGGCUGUGGAGAAGACUCUUUUUGACAUUUCCCCUGCUCCAGGUGCUCCGGUGGGAAUGCUUGGUGAGGACCCCCCAGUCCAUGUUCGCUGCAGCGACCCGAACGUCAUCUGUGAGACCCAGAAUGUGGGCCCCGGGGAACCACGGGACAUAUUUCUGAAGGUGGCCAGUGGUCCAAGCCCGGAGAUCAAAGACUUCUUUGUCAUCAUUUACUCGUAAGUGCACAGGCUUUGGGGACCUGGAGGCGGUGGCGGAGGAGAGGAGGAGGCAGGCCUGGGGCUGCUGGUGGAUUGAAAGUGGGCUUGGCCCCUUCCUAAAAUUGGGGGAGCUUUCGGGCCUUCGCUUUGUGAGGCGGGAUUCUGCUGCGAGUUCAGGGCCCGCAGGGGUCUAGGGAAGGCACCUUGGAGGGGCACGUGCAGCCUGAGGGACUUGGGAUGCAGCUCCUGCCACCAAGGAGAGACACCAGUCAGCCUCUGUCCCCAGAUAGUGGCAAGGGCCACCCAGAAGCCCCUCAUUACCUUUUUCUUGCUGAGUCCCUAGGCUGAACAGCAUGAAUGAAGCUGUGGUCCCUCCUGCGGAGAGGCAGGACUGUGGUGGAAAUGCCCAUCCCUCUCUCCUCCAGGCUAAAUGACCCGGCCCCUUUCCCCUCCCCUCCUAAGUCGGAUCCCCAAGCCCUGUGAGAAUCCUUUCAAACUGGUGUGAGCUCGGAGAUUUCCUGCAGUGCUUCUGAGGAUGGGGCAGGGGCUAACCUGCACUCAGUGCCCACCACAGAGGGGCCACGUGACCACGUCUCAGAGUGGCUUCCUCGUGAGCCCAUGAAGAUGCCUCACCCAGCCCCAUUUGACUGUGAAGCAGCAGGCUCUUGGCCCUAAAAUGCUAACAGGGGCUUCCGUGCUCAGGCCGGCAUGACCUCCAGCCCCACCCUGUCUCCUGCGUGGCGCUGCCCUUGGCUUAGCCUCAGAACCCCUAUUGGGGGUGGACACUUGUCCAGGAUGUGUGUUUGGCCAAAGCGUGCCUUGUCAUUUGUUUGACAUGUGGUUCCUAAGCAGCCCUGCUGCGCCCUGAGAGCCUCUGCUGUGGGUGGGAGAUGGGCAGCCAGGGGUGGAGCCACCAGGCCCUAGCUCUGCCUCCUGGGGCCUGGUCCUCCGGGGCUUUCCCUGCGUGGCCCCAGCUCUGCCUCCUGUGGCCUGGUCCUCUGGGGCUUUCCCUGCACAGCCUCCUGUCUGCCCACGCUCCUGGCAGCCCUUGUUGGCCUCUCGUGGGCCGGUGCUGAGUCCUCCGGGACAAGUGCAGAUGGCUCCCAUCCCACUGCAGGGAUCGCUGGCUGGCGACACCCACACAGACGUGGCAGGUCUACCUCCACUCCCUGCAGCGCGUGGAUGUCUCCUGCGUCGCAGGCCAGCUGACCCGCCUGUCCCUUGUCCUUCGGGGGACACAGACAGUGAGGAAAGUGAGAGCUUUCACCUCUCAUCCCCAGGAGCUGAAGGUACGGCCUCUCUGGGGGCUGUUCUGAGCCUCUCCCCAACCCCAGCCUGGAGACGGGCAGUGGGCAUUCAGCUGGAGCACAGUGGGUGGCCCUGACAGCAGCUUUUCCAGCGCCUCCAGCGCGCAGACGCUGUUACCAGAGGCCUCUCGGCAGUUGCCUUUCGUUAGAUGUGCCAUUGUGGGGUGAGUGACGUACACACCAACCCCAAAGGCCGGUGUUCAGAAUUCCUGGCAAGGUGAACAGUGACAGGAGCUCUGGUGUUAGUGAAGCCACAGUUAGACGGGGUGGGAGGGCGGCCCCUGGUGCCACCAGCUGGCCGGGGUUUUAAGCCCAAGAUGGCUUCAGUUCUGUCUGCGGAGGCAGCGCUUAGGGAAUAGUCGCCGUGUGAGAGGAGGGACUUGCCUGGUGUGGACCCAAGUCGCGGCCACAGUCAUGUCAGGGUUGGUUGUGGCCUCAGAUUUGGCCGCCCCGGAACCACCCAUGACCUUGGGCUCCCCUGGCUGAUUGGGCUGCAGGCGCCCAGGAGCCCCUUGCUUGCACAUCCUGAGAGGCUGUGCUCUGACCCGCCUCUCUCGCUCUUGAAGACAGACCCCAAAGGUGUCUUCGUGCUGCCGCCUCGUGGGGUGCAGGACCUGCAUGUUGGCGUGAGGCCCCUUAGGGCCGGCAGCCGCUUUGUCCAUCUCAACCUGGUGGACGUGGAUUGCCACCAGCUGGUGGCCUCCUGGCUCGUGUGCCUCUGCUGCCGCCAGCCGCUCAUCUCCAAGGCCUUUGAGAUCAUGUUGGCUGCGGGCGAAGGGAAGGGUGUCAACAAGAGGAUCACCUACACCAACCCCUACCCCUCCCGGAGGACAUUCCACCUGCACAGCGACCACCCGGAGCUGCUGCGGUUCAGAGAGGACUCCUUCCAGGUGUGGUGGGGCUGUGCCUGGGACUCCUAGGGGAAGACCCGGGGACCUGAAUGGAGGGCAGUUAGCCUGCAUUUAGGAGCGAGUUCCUCAAAUCACCAGCAGUCUUCCAAAAGCCCCAGGGCGGUGACAGGUACCAUCCCAUAGUUGGGUGGGCCCGUUGUAUCUUUAGUAGCUGGAGAUUUAGCAAAGUUUCUCCUGAGUGUGGGAAAGGGUGUUGUGCCCAGGGCUUUUCAUGGUAAUGUUAGACAGCUCAGUCUCGGAAAUAAGUGUGCCUUCGAGUCCAAGUAACGCGUCACACUGGCUGAGCACUGGUUCCCAUCCUUGUACCGGGCGCUGAAGUCAAAGGCAGGCCUUGGAUGCACCCGCAGGGCUCCCCUGCCUUGUCAGCUCCCCUUGGAAAUAAACACGACCAUGCAGAGAGGUUGCUGGUGAGAGCGUGGGACAGCCCGGGGGUGGAUGCUGGGAUUUGGAUGCUUAUUUCCAGGUCGGGGGUGGAGAGACCUACACCAUCGGCUUGCAGUUUGCGCCUAGUCAGAGAGUGGGUGAGGAGGAGAUCCUGAUCUACAUCAAUGACCAUGAGGACAAAAACGAAGAGGCAUUUUGCGUGAAGGUCAUCUACCAGUGAGGGCUUGAGGGUGACGUCCUUCCUGCGGCACCCAGCUGGGGCCUGUCUGUGCCCCUCCUGCCCUGCAGGCUGUCCUCCCCGCCUCUCUGCAGCCUUUCACUUCAGUGCCCACCUGGCUGACCUGUGCACUUGGCUGAGGAAGCAGAGACCGAGCGCUGGUCAUUUUGUAGUACCUGCAUCCAGCUUAGCUGCUGCUGACACCCAGCAGGCCUGGGUUCCGUGAGCGCGAACUCCGUGGUGGUGGGUCUGGCUCUGGUGCUGCCAUCUACGCAUGUGGGACCCUCGUUAUCGCUGUUGCUCAAAAUGUAUUUUAUGAAUCAUCCUAAAUGAGAAAAUUAUGUUUUUCUUACUGGAUUUUGUACAAACAUAAUCUAUUAUUUGCUAUGCAAUAUUUUAUGCUGGUAUUAUAUCUGUUUUUUAAAUUGUUGAACAAAAUACUAAACUUUUACACGUC